CGCGGCCUAUCAGCUUGUUGGUGGGGUAAUGGCCUACCAAGGCGACGACGGGUAGCCGGCCUGAGAGGGUGACCGGCCACACUGGGACUGAGACACGGCCCAGACUCCUACGGGAGGCAGCAGUGGGGAAUAUUGCACAAUGGGCGAAAGCCUGAUGCAGCGACGCCGCGUGAGGGAUGACGACCUUCGGGUUGUAAACCUCUUUCAGUAGGGAAGAAGCGAAAGUGACGGUACCUGCAGAAGAAGCGCCGGCUAACUACGUGCCAGCAGCCGCGGUAAUACGUAGGGCGCAAGCGUUAUCCGGAAUUAUUGGGCGUAAAGAGCUCGUAGGCGGUUUGUCGCGUCUGCUGUGAAAGACCGGGGCUCAACUCCGGUUCUGCAGUGGGUACGGGCAGACUAGAGUGCAGUAGGGGAGACUGGAAUUCCUGGUGUAGCGGUGAAAUGCGCAGAUAUCAGGAGGAACACCGAUGGCGAAGGCAGGUCUCUGGGCUGUAACUGACGCUGAGGAGCGAAAGCAUGGGGAGCGAACAGGAUUAGAUACCCUGGUAGUCCAUGCCGUAAACGUUGGGCACUAGGUGUGGGGGACAUUCCACGUUUUCCGCGCCGUAGCUAACGCAUUAAGUGCCCCGCCUGGGGAGUACGG
rnacentral:rRNA from 1 species